UACGGAGGAGGCAAGCGUUAUCCGGAAUUAUUGGGCGUAAAGCGUCCGCAGGUGGCACUUCAAGUCUGUCGUCAAAGACUGGGGCUUAACCCUGGAAAGGCGGUGGAAACUGAAAGACUAGAGUGCGGUAGGGGCAGAGGGAAUUCCCGGUGUAGCGGUGAAAUGCGCAGAUAUUGGGAAGAACACCAGUGGCGAAGGCGGUUCUCUGGGACGGUACUGACGCUGAGACGCGAAAGCGUGGGGAGCGAACAGG
rnacentral:rRNA from 1 species